rnacentral:rRNA from 1 species
GAUGAACGCUGGCGGCGUGCCUAAUACAUGCAAGUCGAGCGAACAGACGAGGAGCUUGCUCCUCUGACGUUAGCGGCGGACGGGUGAGUAACACGUGGAUAACCUACCUAUAAGACUGGGAUAACUUCGGGAAACCGGAGCUAAUACCGGAGAAGAUAUUGAACCGCAGGGUUCAAUAGUGAAAGACGGUUUUGCUGUCACUUAUAGAUGGAUCCGCGCCGCAUUAGAUAGUUGGUAAGGUAACGGCUUACCAAGGCGACGAUGCGUAGCCGACCUGAGAGGGUGGUCGGCGACACUGGAACUGAGACACGGUCCAGACUCCUACGGUAGGCAGCAGUCGGGAAUCGUCCGCAAUGGGCGAGAGCCUGACGGAGCAACGCCGCGUGAGUGAUGAAGGUCUUCGGAUCGUAAAACUCUGUUAUUAGGGAAGAACAAAUGUGUAAGUAACUAUGCAGGUCUUGACGGUACCUAAUCAGAAAGCCACGGCUAACUACGUG